GUAGGUGAACCUGCGGAAGGAUCAUUAAAGAAUCGCCCCGUUUUUUGAAAUGGGUUCUAUUCCCAAACCGUGUAUACAUACCUUUGUUGCUUUGGCAGGCCGCCUCUUUGGCGUCGGCUUCGGCUGACUGCGCCUGCCAGAGGACCCUAAACUCUGUUUAUACAUGUCGUCUGAGUACUAUAUAAUAGUUAAAACUUUCAACAACGGAUCUCUUGGUUCUG
rnacentral:misc_RNA from 1 species